rnacentral:rRNA from 1 species
UACGUAGGGUGCGAGCGUUAAUCGGAAUACUGGGCGUAAAGCGUGCGCAGGCGGUUUUGUAAGCCAGAUGUGAAAGCCCCGGGCUCAACCUGGGAAUGGCAUUUGGGACUGCAAGGCCUGAGUGCGGCAGAGGAGACUGGAAUUCCUGGUGUAGCAGUGAAAUGCGUAGAUAUCAGGAGGAAUACCGAUGGCGAAGGCAGGUCUCUGGGCUGACACUGACGCUCAUGCACGAAAGCGUGGGGAGCAACAAG